rnacentral:tRNA from 1 species
UUUAAUAUGGCAGAUUAGUGCAAUGAUUUUAAGAUUCAUAUAUAAAAGUAAUUUUUUUAUUAAAA